CAGCCGUAAACUAUGCUCGCUAGGUGUCAGGCAUGGCGCGACCGUGUCUGGUGCCGCAGGGGAGCCGUGAAGCGAGCCACCUGGGAAGUACGGCCGCAAGGCUGAAACUUAAAGGAAUUGGCGGGGGAGCACAACAACGGGUGGAGCCUGCGGUUUAAUUGGACUCAACGCCGGACAACUCACCGGGGACGACAGCAAUAUGUAGGCCAGGCUGAAGACCUUGCCUGAAUCGCUGAGAGGAGGUGCAUGGCGUAGACGUGU
rnacentral:rRNA from 1 species